CAGACUGAAAGUCCUCUUAAGAUCCCCAGGAGAGUUUCCACGGCUGAGGAUGAGUGUGUGGAUAAAGAGAUGUCAAAAGAUCGGAAAAAGAGCCACUCCAAGAUCCACUGGACACAACUGGCCUCAAACGGUACAUCCUCACAGUCAGAUCCAAAAUCACAAAAAAAACAUUGAUCAAUGGCAGGAAAUCUACAGGUAACAAGCUAACCACAUGAUCUGUAGUAAUUUGAAGGCAAAGCCUGUUCUUCAUCACUUGUUUUAAAGUUCAGAUUCAAGAACUUGAACUUGUUGUAAAUGUUAGGUUUUGUAGUUGUAUGAACAUGGUAUUGUUUACCUUGCAUAAAAUGAAAUAUGUAGCCUUGAAUUAUGCCGAUAUUAGCCAGAUGACUUACUGUAAAUUGCUUAUGUGAUAUGUUAUGUGAAGACUCUCAACAUUGCAUGUAUUUGGGAAAAUAAAAUGUAGGUGUG